AUUGAACGCUGGCGGCAUGCCUUACACAUGCAAGUCGAACGGCAGCACGGGGCAACUUGGUGGCGAGUGGCGAACGGGUGAGUAAUGCAUCGGAACGUACCUUUCAGUGGGGGAUAACGUAGCGAAAGUUACGCUAAUACCGCAUAUUCUGUGAGCAGGAAAGCAGGGGAUCGCAAGACCUUGCGCUGAUUGAGCGGCCGAUGUCAGAUUAGCUAGUUGGAGAGGUAAAGGCUCACCAAGGCGACGAUCUGUAGCGGGUCUGAGAGGAUGAUCCGACAGACAGGAAAUGGGACACGGUCCAGACGCCUACGUGAGGCAGAAAUGGGGAAUUUUGGACAAUGGGGGCAACUCUGCGCCAGCCAUGCAGCGUGAGUGGAGAAGGCCUUCGGGUUAUAGAGCUCUUUCGGCCGGGAAGAAAUCGCACGGGCUAAUACCCUGUGUGGAUGACGGUACCGGAAUAAGAAGCACCGGCUAACUACGUGCCAGCAGCCGCUGUAAAAC
rnacentral:rRNA from 1 species